rnacentral:rRNA from 1 species
GACGAACGCUGGCGGCGUGCUUAACACAUGCAAGUCGAACGGAAAGGCCCCUUUGGGGGUACUCGAGUGGCGAACGGGUGAGUAACACGUGAGUAACCUGCCCUUGACUUCGGGAUAACUUCAGGAAACUGGGGCUAAUACCGGAUAGGAAUCCUUGCUGCAUGGUGGGGGUUGGAAAGCUUCGGCGGUUUUGGAUGGACUCGCGGCUUAUCAGCUUGUUGGUGGGGUAGUGGCUUACCAAGGCUUUGACGGGUAGCCGGCCUGAGAGGGCGACCGGCCACAUUGGGACUGAGAGACGGCCCAGACUCCUACGGGAGGCAGCAGUGGGGAAUAUUGCACAAUGGGCGGAAGCCGGAUGCAGCAACGCCGCGGGCGGGAGGACGGCCUUCGGGUUGUAAACCGCUUUCAGCAGGGGCGAAGCUUGUGGUGACGGUACCUGCAGAAGAAGCACCGGCUAACUACGUG